CCUACGGGGAGCAACAGUGGGGAAUAUUGCACAAUGGGGGAAACCCUGAUGCAGCGACGCCGCGUGAGUGAAGAAGUAAUUCGUUAUGUAAAGCUCUAUCAGCAGGGAAGAAAAUGACGGUACCUGAGUAAGAAGCCCCGGCUAACUACGUGCCAGCAGCCGCGGUAAUACGUAGGGGGCAAGCGUUAUCCGGAUUUACUGGGUGUAAAGGGAGCGUAGACGGCAGUGCAAGUCUGGAGUGAAAGGCGGGGGCUCAACCCCCGGACUGCUCUGGAAACUGUACGGCUGGAGUGCAGGAGAGGUAAGUGGAAUUCCGAGGGUAGCGGUGAAAGGCGUAGAUAUAUGGAAGAACACCAGUGGCGAAGGCGGCUCUCUGGUCUGCAACUGACGCUGAGGCUCGAAAGCAUGGGUAGCGAACAGGAUUAGAUACCCGUGUAGUC
rnacentral:rRNA from 1 species